AUUUUUCCUCUUCCUCAGGGCAAUGUCUUUCUCUGUAAAUCAUAUUCUCCCUCGGGAAUUUCAUUGCUCGGUCUUGUUCUUGGCAAGGAGUAUAGUCAGUGUAUUUAUCAUCACAAGGCUUAAAUACUUCCACUUUUAGUUGAGAGGGUUCAAUACUGUCAACAUUAUUGUGAUGAGUUUCGAAGUUCAAAUUGGAAAUGAUAUUGCAGUCUGUUUGCUUGGUUAUUUCCAAGGCUAUGCUAUCUCCCUUUCCAAAACCACUUCUCUGCCAUGCUCCCAAUAUGUAAAAGAAACAGCACAAACCAAUCACAAUGAAUAUAGACACUGGGCUUCGC
rnacentral:lncRNA from 1 species